rnacentral:lncRNA from 1 species
CGGGUAGGAGAAGAGCGGCGCAAGGGGCCGGGGGUCCUCGUCGGAGGCCCCGGCCGACACGGCCUUGAGGGAGAAGCCCCAGAUGAAGCGCUCGUAGGAGCCGGCGACGAGGGCCAUCGGAGAGGGAGCGAGAGAGCCUACGCGCCGCCGCCGCCGCCGCCGCCGGAAGGGUUGGGGGAGGAAAGGGGAGAAGGGUUUGGGGGUUUGGUCGUUUCGCCGUGCUUUGUGGACCAGGGGAUGGCGCGUGUG